AUGGGCGCCGGGGCGGCCGCCAGCGGCGACAUCAUCCACCAGAACAACAACGCGCCCAAGAUCCCCGGCUGCUCCAACGAUUUCAUUCUCGUACGCCCUCCUCUUCCUCCUCCCGGCCUCUCCCGAGUGAGUGCAGGCCCAAGCCCAUGGGUAUACAACCUCUGCGCCCCACACAGGGCCCCUGGUUUUGAGGGGCUGAUCCAAUCGAGAAUCGCUCGCUCCAGCGACCAGCGCACUGUUGGGCGCCGGCGCAUAGGCAACCGCCGCCGCCGCGCCACAUCGCUGGCACGCAAGCAUACUCCACGGCCGCACGCGCCGCUCCAUCCUGCUGUACAAGGAGUCCUACGAGGCCCUGCUGCGCGACCCCGCAGAGAACGCCAGGGAGCUAGUGCAGUUCAUCUUGGCGCACCUUAUGCCCUGGAAGCCAACACAACAGGCUAUUUGUAUCCCCCUCCUCCUGAUCUGCUCAUCCUUGACACUGUUUCAGCUUUGUUGAUAACGCGCAUAGCGAGUUGGCCUUGUUGCUUCAAGGAUGAAUCUGUCGAUAUGAUAUUCAAUGGGAACAAAAAGUAUGAAGCUGUUAGGCGAUGCAGCUUUUUGUUGCCGGGAAUUCAAUUAGCCGAUCGCAGUGCUCUGGCUUGGACUCUGGAGGAACACCGGCAACUCUGUUUUGGAGUUAGGUAUUUUUUGUACUGUGAGCUGAGGAGAUUCCAUCGCUAA
rnacentral:rRNA from 1 species